UAAAAGAGGAAUAAUUGGGAUGGUGAGCCUAAUCUGAUGUUUUCCAUACAGUUAGUUUUCUAUUACAAUUGAACAAUGUAAUAAACUGUUCCCUAGGCUCUUGACACAGUUUGAUUCGAUGGCCUGCUGCUCUUGGACCUCAGGACAGAGCCCAUUAGAGCAUGUGAGAAGUCAGCCAAAGCUACCACAAAAACAGCCACCGGGCUCCUCAACCAUUCUCUGCUCAGCCUAACCCAACUCACCUAAAUAAUGUGUUCUCAGAGAUAAGAGAAAAAGACCACUACCACCACAAACAAUGACAACAGAAACCUGAGUUGGAUGCCAAACAGAUGGACAGCUUCAAUUUGGUGGUUGGCAAGCCUGCUUCAUAUAAGACUACAUCAUGCCACUUUCCUGAUUUUCUUGCCUGGAGGGAUUUAUGCUACUACAAAAUCUGGCACUAGGCUGGGACUUUAGGCUUGAGCUGGCUGUUAUAUGAAUUUAGAGAUAAAGAUGAAUAGAAUGUCUGGAGUAAGAAUGAUUUUAAUUAUGGAUCUCACCUCUCUUGUUCCCUAUUACUGAAUAAUGCAUUGUUCCUAA